AGAGAUGGAGGAGUGCAGAUCCAUGAUAUCCUCAGGUAGGGGGGAAGAGAGGGUAGUGGACAGAUCCAUGAUAUCCUCAGGUAGGGGGGAAGAGAUAUCCUCAGGUAGGAGGGAAGAGAGGGGAGUGGACAGAUCCAUGAUAUCCUCAGGUAGGAAGGAAGAGAUAUCCUCAGGUAGGAGGGAAGAGAUGGAGGAGUGGACAGAUCCAUGAUAUCCUCAGGUAGGAGGGAAGAGAUGGAGGAGUGGACAGAUCCAUGAUAUCCUCAGGUAGGAGGGAAGAGAUGGAGGAGUGGACAGAUCCAUGAUAUCCUCAGGUAGGGGGGAAGAGAUGGAGGAGUGGACAGAUCCAUGAUAUCCUCAGGUAGGGGGGAAGAGAUGGAGGAGUGGACAGAUCCAUGAUAUCCUCAGGUAGGAGGAAAGAGAGAGGAGUACACAGAUCCUAGAUAACCUCAGGUAGGAGAGAAGAGAUAU